CCUACGGGUGGCACCAGUGAGGAAUAUUGCACAAUGGGCGCAAGCCUGAUGCAGCCAUGCCGCGUGUAUGAAGAAGGCCUUCGGGUUGUAAAGUACUUUCAGCGGGGAGGAAGGUGUUGUGGUUAAUAACCUCAGCAAUUGACGUUACCCGCAGAAGAAGCACCGGCUAACUCCGUGCCAGCAGCCGCGGUAAUACGGAGGGUGCAAGCGUUAAUCGGAAUUACUGGGCGUAAAGCGCACGCAGGCGGUCUGUCAAGUCGGAUGUGAAAUCCCCGGGCUCAACCUGGGAACUGCAUUCGAAACUGGCAGGCUAGGGCCUUGUAGAGGGGGGUAGAAUUCCAGGUGUAGCGGUGAAAUGCGUAGAGAUCUGGAGGAAUACCGGUGGCGAAGGCGGCCCCCUGGACAAAGACUGACGCUCAGGUGAGAAAGCGUGGGGAGCAAACAGGAUUAGAUACCCGCGUAGUC
rnacentral:rRNA from 1 species